UACGUAGGGUGCGAGCGUUAAUCGGAUUUACUGGGCGUAAAGCGUGCGCAGGCGGCCCGUUAAGACAGGUGUGAAAUCCCUGGGCUCAACCUAGGAAUUGCGCUUGUGACUGGCGGGCUCGAGUACGGUAGAGGGGGGAGGAAUUCCUGGUGUAGCGGUGAAAUGCGUAGAGAUCAGGAGGAACACCGAUGGCGAAGGCAGCCCCCUGGGCCUGUACUGACGCUCAUGCACGAAAGCGUGGGGAGCAAACAGG
rnacentral:rRNA from 1 species